rnacentral:rRNA from 1 species
UACGUAGGGCGCAAGCGUUGUCCGGAAUUAUUGGGCGUAAAGAGCUCGUAGGUGGUUUGUCGCGUUGUUCGUGAAAUCUCACGGCUUAACUGUGAGCGUGCGGGCGAUACGGGCAGACUAGAGUACUGCAGGGGAGACUGGAAUUCCUGGUGUAGCGGUGGAAUGCGCAGAUAUCAGGAGGAACACCGGUGGCGAAGGCGGGUCUCUGGGCAGUAACUGACGCUGAGGAGCGAAAGUGUGGGGAGCGAACAGG